rnacentral:rRNA from 1 species
GAUGAACGCUAGCUACAGGCUUAACACAUGCAAGUCGGACGGUAGCACAGAGAGCUUGCUCUCGGGUGACGAGUGGCGGACGGGUGAGUAAUGUCUGGGGAUCUGCCCGAUAGAGGGGGAUAACCACUGGAAACGGUGGCUAAUACCGCAUAACGUCGCAAGACCAAAGAGGGGGACCUUCGGGCCUCUCACUAUCGGAUGAACCCAGAUGGGAUUAGCUAGUAGGCGGGGUAACGGCCCACCUAGGCGACGAUCCCUAGCGGGUCUGAGAGGAUGACCAGCCACACUGGAACUGAGACACGGUCCAGACUCCUACGGGAGGCAGCAGUGGGGAAUAUUGCACAAUGGGCGCAAGCCUGAUGCAGCCAUGCCGCGUGUAUGAAGAAGGCCUUCGGGUUGUAAAGUACUUUCAGCGGGGAGGAAGGCGAUGUGGUUAAUAACCGCAUUGAUUGACGUUACCCGCAGAAGAAGCACCGGCUAACUCCGUGCCAGCAGCCGCAGUAA